GCGACCCCAGGUCAGGCGGGA
rnacentral:ncRNA from 20 species